rnacentral:rRNA from 1 species
GAUGAACGCUGGCGGCGUGCCUAAUACAUGCAAGUCGAGCGAACGGACGAGAAGCUUGCUUAUCUGAUGUUAGCGGCGGACGGGUGAGUAACACGUGUAUAACCUACCUGUAAGACUGGUAUCACUUCGGGAAACCGUAUCUAAUACCGUAUAAUAUUUUGAACCGCAUGGUUCAAAAGUGAAAUACGGUCUUGCUGUCACUUCUAGAUGGAUCCGCGCUGCAUUAGCUAGUUGGUAAGGUAACGGCUUACCAAGGCAACGAUGCAUAGCCGAACUGAGAGGGUGAUCGGCCACACUGGAACUGAGACACGGUCCAGACUCCUACGAGAGGCAGCAGUAGCGAACCUUACGCAAUGGGCGAAAGCAUGACGGAGCAACGCCGCGUGAGUGAUGAAGGUCUUCGGAGCGUAAAACUCUGUUAUUAGGGAAGAACAUAUGUGUAAGUAAAUGUGCACAUCUUGACGGUAACUAAUAAGAAAGCCACGGCUAACUACGUG